rnacentral:rRNA from 1 species
AGUUUUUGAGCGAGGCUUGCUGCUGGUGCGGAAACGCGCAUGUGCACGGCUUUCGCGCUCAAAUCCACUCAACACCUGUGCACCUAUAUCUGGUUGAAGCGAGUAGUUCGGGCUCCUGUAGGCGGAGUAAUGAGUAGAAAAGAGGCACAGUCUUCCGUUUGAAAGUGAAAUGUCUCGGCUCGAGUGAAAGCUUCGACUUGUUUUUAUAAACCACACUUGUUGUCUUGUGAAUGUAAUGCUCCCUGUGAGCGAUAAUUAAAUACAACUUUCAACAACGGAUCUCUUGGCUCUCGCAUCGAUGAAGAACGCAGCGAAAUGCGAUAAGUAAUGUGAAUUGCAGAAUUCAGUGAAUCAUCGAAUCUUUGAACGCAUCUUGCGCCCCUUGGUAUUCCGAGGGGCAUGCCUGUUUGAGUGUCAUGUUAAUCUCAAAUCACUUGUCUUUCUUAAUUGAAGGGCCUGAGGUUUGGACUUGGAGGAUUCUUGCUGGCUCCGGUCGGCUCCUCUCAAAUGUAUUAGCUGGGCUUCGGCUUGCGUUUACGGUGUAAUAGUUAAUCCUUUCGCCAGAACGCUUGCCUAAUAGGUCUGCUUCUAAUCGUCCGUUUCGGACAAGGCUUCUGGCCUUCUGACUCCUUUGACCUCAAAUCAGGUAGGACUACCCGCUGAACUUAAGCAUAUCAAUGAGCGGAGGAAAAGAAACUAACAAGGAUUCCCCUAGUAACUGCGAGUGAAGCGGGAAGAGCUCAAAUUUAAAAUCUGGCGGUUCUGCCGUCCGAGUUGUAGUCUGGAGAAGUGUUAUCUGCGUCGGACCGUGUACAAGUCUCCUGGAAUGGAGCGUCAUAGAGGGUGAGAAUCCCGUCCAUGACACGGAGCUCCCGAUGCUUUGUGAGGCACUCUCAAAGAGUCGAGUUGUUUGGGAAUGCAGCUCAAAAUGGGUGGUAAAUUCCAUCUAAAGCUAAAUAUUGGCGAGAGACCGAUAGCGAACAAGUACCGUGAGGGAAAGAUGAAAAGCACUUUGGAAAGAGAGUUAAACAGUACGUGAAAUUGUUGAAAGGGAAACGCUUGAAGUCAGUCGCGUCCCGUGGAACUCAGCCUGGCCUCGGCUUGGUGUACUUUCCAUGGGACGGGUCAACAUCAAUUUCGGCCGGUGGAAAAGGGCGAGGGGAAUGUAGCGUCGUUUCGGCGGCGUGUUAUAGCCCUUUGUCGCAUACGCUGGCUGGGAUUGAGGACUGCAGCACGCCCU